UUCAGUCAUAGAGUGACCGUACCGCAAACCGACACAGGUGGGCUGGUAGAGAAUACCAAGGCGCUUGAGAGAACUCAGGAGAAGGAACUCGGCAAAUUGAUACCGUAACUUCGGGAGAAGGUAUGCCCCUGGUACGUGAAGGCCCUCGCGGCCGGAGCGGAACGGGGUCGCAGAGAAUCGGUGGCUGCGACUGUUUAUUAAAAACACAGCACUCUGCAAACACGAAAGUGGACGUAUAGGGUGUGACGCCUGCCCGGUGCCGGAAGGUUAAGUGAUGGGGUGCAAGCUCUUGAUCGAAGCCCCGGUAAACGGGGGCCGUAACGAUAACGGUCCUAAGGUAGCGAAAUUCCUUGUCGGGUAAGUUCCGACCUGCACGAAUGGCGUAACGAUGGCCACACUGUCUCCUCCUGAGACUCAGCGAAGUUGAAAUGUUUGUGAAGAUGCAAUCUCCCCGCGGCUAGACGGAAAGACCCCAUGAACCUUUACUGUAGCUUUGCAUUGGACUUUGACGGGACUUGUGUAGGAUAGGUGGGAGGCUUUGAAGCCGGGACGCUAGUUCCGGUGGAGCCAUCCUUGAAAUACCACCCUGGUGUCGUCGAGGUUCUAACCCAGGCCUGUGAAUCCAGGUCGGGGACCGUGCAUGGUGGGCAGUUUGACUGGGGCGGUCUCCUCCCAAAAGGUAACGGAGGAGUACGAAGGUCACCUAGGUACGGUCGGACAUCGUACUGAUAGUGCAAUGGCAAAAGGUGGCUUGACUGCGAGACCCACAAGUCGAGCAGGUGCGAAAGCAGGUCAUAGUGAUCCGGUGGUUCUGUAUGGAAGGGCCAUCGCUCAACGGAUAAAAGGUACUCUGGGGACAACAGGCUGAUUCCGCCCAAGAGUUCACAUCGACGGCGGAGUUUGGCACCUCGAUGUCGGCUCAUCACAUCCUGGGGCUGUAGCCGGUCCCAAGGGUAUGGCUGUUCGCCAUUUAAAGUGGUACGUGAGCUGGGUUUAAAACGUCGUGAGACAGUUUGGUCCCUAUCUGCCGUGGGCGCUGGAAGUUUGAGAGGGCCUGCUCCUAGUACGAGAGGACCGGAGUGGACGCACCCCUGGUGUACCGGUUGUGACGCCAGUCGCAUCGCCGGGUAGCUAUGUGCGGAAGAGAUAACCGCUGAAAGCAUCUAAGCGGGAAACUCGCCUCAAGAUGAGACUUCCCCGGGGCCUCGAGCCCCCUGAAGGGUCGUUGAAGACCACAACGUUGAUAGGUCGGGUGUGUAAGCGUGGCAACACGUUCAGCUAACCGAUACUAAUUGCCCGUGCGGCUUGAUCCG
rnacentral:rRNA from 1 species